AUGAACGCUGGCGGCGUGCCUAAUACCUGCAAGUCGAGCGAACAGAUCAGGAGCUUGCUCCUUUGACGUUAGCGGCGGACGGGUGAGUAACACGUGGGUAACCUACCUAUAAGACUGGGAUAACUUCGGGAAACCGGAGCUAAUACCGGAUAACAUUUGGAACCGCAUGGUUCUAAAGUGAAAGAUGGUUUUGCUAUCACUUAUAGAUGGACCCGCGCCGUAUUAGCUAGUUGGUAAGGUAACGGCUUACCAAGGCGACGAUACGUAGCCGACCUGAGAGGGUGAUCGGCCACACUGGAACUGAGACACGGUCCAGACUCCUACGGGAGGCAGCAGUAGGGAAUCUUCCGCAAUGGGCGAAAGCCUGACGGAGCAACGCCGCGUGAGUGAUGAAGGGUUUCGGCUCGUAAAACUCUGUUAUUAGGGAAGAACAAAUGUGUAAGUAACUGUGCACGUCUUGACGGUACCUAAUCAGAAAGCCACGGCUAACUACGUG
rnacentral:rRNA from 1 species